rnacentral:rRNA from 1 species
AGUCAAUUAGCACGUGAAAUUGUUAAAAGGGAAGCGCUCGCUACCAGACUUGGGUUCGGCGGUUCAACCGGGCCAUGCCCCGGGGCACUCCGCCGACCCAGGCCAGCAUCAGCUUUCCGUCGGGGGCAAAGGCGUCGGGAAUGUGGCUCUCCUUCGAGGGAGUGUUAUAGCCCGGCGUGUCAAUACCUUCGGGGGGCUGAGGUACGCGCUUCUGCAAGGAUGCUGGCGUAAUGGUAGCUAGUGACCCGUCUUGAAACACGGACCAAGGAGUCAACCUUAUGUGCGAGUGCCCGGGCGUAAAACCCCAGCGCGGAAUGAAAGUGAACGUAGGUGAGAGCUUCGGCGCAUCACCGACCGAUCCUGAUGUCCUCGGACGGAUUUGAGUGAGAGCAUAUAGGGUUGGACCCGAAAGAAGAUGAACUAUGCGUGUGUAGGGUGAAGCCAGAGGAAACUCUGGUGGAGGCUCGCAGCGGUUCUGACGUGCAAAUCGAUCGUCAAACAUGCGCAUGGGGGCGAAAGACUAAUCGAAUCUUCUGGUAGCUGGUUUCCGCCGAAGUUUCCCUCAGGAUAGCAGUGUUGAUCCCAGUUUUAUGAGGUAAAGCGAAUGAUUAGGGACUCGGGGGCGCUAUAUUGCCUUCAUCCAUUCUCAAACUUUAAAUAUGUAAGAAGUCCCCGUUUCUUAACUGAACGCGGACGCUGGAAUGUCACAACACUAGUGGGCCAUUUUUGGUAAGCAGAACUGGCGAUGCGGGAUGAACCGAACGCGAGGUUAAGGUGCCGGAGUGGACGCUCAUCAGACACCACAAAAGGUGUUAGUACAUCUUGACAGCAGGACGGUGGCCAUGGAAGUCGGAAUCCGCUAAGGACUGUGUAACAACUCACCUGCCGAAUGUACUAGCCCUGAAAAUGGAUGGCGCUCAAGCGUCCCACCCAUACCUCGCCCCUCGACGCUGGUCGGCGCGUCGAGGAGUAGGCGGACGUGGAGGUCGGUGACGAAC